rnacentral:rRNA from 1 species
CCAGACUCCUACGGGAGGCAGCAGUGGGGAAUAUUGGACAAUGGGGGGAACCCUGAUCCAGCGACGCCGCGUGAGUGAAGAAGUAUUUCGGUAUGUAAAGCUCUAUCAGCAGGGAAGAAAGAAAUGACGGUACCUGACUAAGAAGCCCCGACUAACUACGUGCCAGCAGCCGCGGUAAUACGUAGGGGGCAAGCGUUAUCCGGAUUCACUGGGUGUAAAGGGAGCGUAGACGGCCGUGCAAGCCAGGAGUGAAAGCCCGGGGCCCAACCCCGGGACUGCUCUUGGAACUGUGCGGCUGGAGUGCGGGAGGGGCAGGCGGAAUUCCUGGUGUAGCGGUGAAAUGCGUAGAUAUCAGGAGGAACACCGGCGGCGAAGGCGGCCUGCUGGACCGCGACUGACGUUGAGGCUCGAAAGCGUGGGGAGCGAACAGGAUUAGAUACCCUGGUAA